rnacentral:snRNA from 1 species
CCGACCUUGAUCUUCUGAGA